ensembl:lncRNA
UUGACCAAAGCAACGCUCAACUGCAGGUAAAAGCAUUAAAAUGUGAGUUUAACAACGCUCCAAGGCGCGUGCAAGUAAGCAGUUUAAGCGUUUUAUUACAACCCAUUCUCACUCCUAAAGCGCCAAAAACUGACGCCUCUAGCGUCACUAUGAAGACGCCAAAGAACUCACCGCUGAUGAACGCGCUAAACCUUUGCGCAGAGGGCACUUUGAUAUCAGAUUGAGAGGGUUUUUAAACAUCAAAAACCAGUUGGAGGGCCAGAUAAAAAUGAUCUGGGGGCCGCCAUUUGCUCGCCCUGGCAUAGAUCCUUUUUUGUAGCCUAUUCCUUUUUAUUUUUAUUUAUUGUAGUCUCCACCCAUACAAGGCAGACAACGGGUGUGCUGACCCAAGACGUCAAAUUUCAACACUGUUGAGUUCUAUAGAAGUCUAUCGGACUACCCUGCACGUUGAAAAAUGACGCCAAAGGUAUACCCAGUGCGUUAAAAAGUGACGCCAGGGUCCCUUGACCAUGCGUCAGACAUUUGACGAGUAGGGAGUGAGACUGUGUUGGGUUUUAUGGUUACACACGGCACUGGAUAGCUGGCAAAUCAGCAUAUACCCGCUUUUUUAGAACGAUAAGCUUUAUAAAAAUUGAUGCGUUUCAGAAAGGCGUGGCUAAAAAGAGCAAUAAUAAUAUACAUUAUAUGGAAAAUAAUGUGUUUUUUUGAACCUUAAACUGCAUAAACACAUUGCAUUACACCAAAUACACAAAAUAAUGUUAUUUUUAGUAAUGUCAUAUGACCCCUUUAAAAAAAAAUAACUUUGUAAUAAUGUUAAAAUAAAAAAUUACUUUAAAGUAAUUUUAAAUAUUUUAUUUAUUUAUUUAUUUUUCAUUUUUUUAUCAUUUGGUAAUCUCUUGUCAUGCUUUAAAUUGACUAACACACUUAAGCAUGUAGUUUUGCCUGUAGGUAUGUUAUUCAGUAUUACAUUAAAUAACUAUAUUAAUAUAUAUAUUAAUAAUUAAUAUAUUUCAAAUGCACUAAAUUGCAACUUCAUCAUUACAUAUGUGAAACUACUAAAAUAUGUAAAUCUAUAACAUACAAGUAAAAAAAAAAAAAGACAUUCAAUUUUAGUUUACCAUAAAUGCUUGUCAGUACAUUCGGCAGUAGUUUUUAACCAUAAUUCAAAGACAAUAGAAGUAGUUAUGAAAUUACACAUACAGUAUAGACCUACUAAAAUAACUUAAGGCCUAUUUAAGUGGCCCAAAAAAGCACUUAAUUUUCAUUGCAUUUAAUAUAAAUUUAAACUAUAUUUCAUUUUUAUUUAAUUGCAAAUAAUGUGCAAAUUAAGUGACAGAAAACAGUACAUUCAGUUCACACUUAAGUAUAUUCUUGAAAAGUAUAUUAUUCUCAUAAACGUUUAAACUCUUAUUAAAGGUGUACUAAAUUGUACUCCUUUUUCAUAAGGGUAUAGAUGGUAUACAUGUUAGUCAACAGCAUUGAGUAAGAGUGCUCUUGUA